UACGUAGGGUGCGAGCGUUAAUCGGAAUUACUGGGCGUAAAGCGUGCGCAGGCGGCUUUGUAAGUCAGGUGUGAAAUCCCCGGGCUUAACCUGGGAAUGGCAUUUGGGACUGCAAGGCUGGAGUGUGGCAGAGGAGACUGGAAUUCCUGGUGUAGCAGUGAGAUGCGUAGAUAUUGGGAAGAACACCGGUGGCGAAGGCGGCUAUCUGGACCGACAUUGACGCUGAGGCGCGAAAGCGUGGGGAGCAAACAGG
rnacentral:rRNA from 1 species